rfam:Myotis brandtii contig245028, whole genome shotgun sequence.
GGCGGUUCUCGGAUGACACACUCAGGAAUCAGGCUCCCUCCUCUCUGGUUCCGGGUGCCUCACCCAAGAACUGCU